rnacentral:rRNA from 1 species
GACGAACGCUGGCGGCGUGCCUAAUACAUGCAAGUCGAGCGAAUCAAUAGGAGCUUGCUCCUGUUGGUUAGCGGCGGACGGGUGAGUAACACGUGGGCAACCUGCCUGUAAGACUGGGAUAACACCGGGAAACCGGUGCUAAUACCGGAUAAUCCUUUUCCUCUCAUGAGGAAAAGCUGAAAGACGGUUUCGGCUGUCACUUACAGAUGGGCCCGCGGCGCAUUGGCUAGUUGGUGAGGUAACGGCUAACCAAGGCGACGAUGCGUAGCCGACCUGAGAGGGUGAUCGGCCACACUGGGACUGAGACACGGCCCAGACUCCUACGGGAGGCAGCAGUAGGGAAUCUUCCACAAUGGACGAAAGUCUGAUGGAGCAACGCCGCGUGAGCGAUGAAGGCCUUCGGGUCGUAAAGCUCUGUUGUUAGGGAAGAACAAGUACAGGAGUAACUGCCGGUACCUUGACGGUACCUAACCAGAAAGCCACGGCUAACUACGUGCCAGCCGCCGCCGUAAUAC